rnacentral:rRNA from 1 species
CCUACGGUGGGCAGCAGUGGGGAAUAUUGCACAAUGGGGGGAACCCUGAUGCAGCAACGCCGCGUGGGUGAAGAAGUACUCCGGUAUGUAAAGCCCUGUCAGCAGGGAAGAAAAUGACGGUACCUGACCAAGAAGCCCCGGCUAACUACGUGCCAGCAGCCGCGGUAAUACGUAGGGGGCAAGCGUUAUCCGGAUUCACUGGGUGUAAAGGGAGCGUAGACGGCCAAGCAAGCCAGGGGUGAAAGCCCGGGGCCCAACCCCGGGACUGCCCUUGGAACUGCAUGGCUGGAGUGCGGGAGGGGCAGGCGGAAUUCCUGGUGUAGCGGUGAAAUGCGUAGAUAUCAGGAGGAACACCGGCGGCGAAGGCGGCCUGCUGGACCGCGACUGACGUUGAGGCUCGAAAGCGUGGGGAGCGAACAGGAUUAGAUACCCCAGUAGUC